CCUACGGGGUGCAGCAGUCGAGAAUUAUUCACAAUGGGGGAAACCCUGAUGGUGCGACGCCGCGUGGGGGAAUGAAGGUCUUCGGAUUGUAAACCCCUGUCAUGUGGGAGCAAAUUAAAAAGAUAGUACCACAAGAGGAAGAGACGGCUAACUCUGUGCCAGCAGCCGCGGUAAUACAGAGGUCUCAAGCGUUGUUCGGAAUCACUGGGCGUAAAGCGUGCGUAGGCUGUUUCGUAAGUCGUGUGUGAAAGGUGCGGGCUCAACCCGCGGACGGCACAUGAUACUGCGAGACUAGAGUAAUGGAGGGGGAACCGGAAUUCUCGGUGUAGCAGUGAAAUGCGUAGAUAUCGAGAGGAACACUCGUGGCGAAGGCGGGUUCCUGGACAUUAACUGACGCUGAGGCACGAAGGCCAGGGGAGCGAAAGGGAUUAGAUACCCGAUAGUC
rnacentral:rRNA from 1 species